AGAGUUUGAUCCUGGCUCAGGACGAACGCUGGCGGCGUGCUUAACACAUGCAAGUCGAACGAAGAGCGAUGGGAGCUUGCUCCUAUCAAUCUUAGUGGCGAACGGGUGAGUAACGCGUAAUCAACCUGCCCUUCAAUGGGGGACAACAGUUGGAAACGACUGCUAAUACCGCAUACGAUCGUAAUUCGGCAUCGAGAUACGAUGAAAGGUGGCCUCUAUUUAUAAGCUAUCGUUGAAGGAGGGGAUUGCGUCUGAUUAGCUAGUUGGAGGGGUAACGGCCCACCAAGGCAAUGAUCAGUAGCCGGUCUGAGAGGAUGAACGGCCACAUUGGGACUGAGACACGGCCCAAACUCCUACGGGAGGCAGCAGUGGGGAAUCUUCCGCAAUGGACGAAAGUCUGACGGAGCAACGCCGCGUGAGUGAUGAAGGUCUUCGGAUUGUAAAGCUCUGUUAAUCGGGACGAAAGAGCCUAGUGUGAAUAAUGCUAGGAAGUGACGGUACCGGAAUAGAAAGCCACGGCUAACUACGUGCCAGCAGCCGCGGUAA
rnacentral:rRNA from 1 species